GGAGGUCUCUGGCUGUAGCGGUGUCUGUCUCUAUGAUUGCGUGUAAAUUGUUGUUGCGCGCGGCCAUUGUGCGGACUAGCCUACAGCCGGCGCCCAC
rnacentral:miRNA from 1 species